AGUGGGAUAACUGGGUCAAAUGGUGGUUCCAUUUCAAGUUUUCCAAAAUGCUUUCCAGAGUGUCUGCACCAAUUUGCAUUCCCACCAGCAAU
rnacentral:pre_miRNA from 1 species